UACGGAGGGAGCUAGCGUUGUUCGGAAUUACUGGGCGUAAAGCGCACGUAGGCGGCUUUGUAAGUUAGAGGUGAAAGCCCGGGGCUCAACUCCGGAAUUGCCUUUAAGACUGCAUCGCUAGAACGUCGGAGAGGUAAGUGGAAUUCCGAGUGUAGAGGUGAAAUUCGUAGAUAUUCGGAAGAACACCAGUGGCGAAGGCGACUUACUGGACGACUGUUGACGCUGAGGUGCGAAAGCGUGGGGAGCAAACAGG
rnacentral:rRNA from 1 species